rnacentral:rRNA from 1 species
AGGGUUUGAUCCUGGCUCAGGGCUAACGCUGGCAGCGUGUCUUAGACAUGCAAGUCGAGCGGGGGUUGGUCCGAUAGGUUCCCUCUGGGAACCUAUCGGAUUUCAGCUCUAGCGGCGGACGGCUGAGUAAUACACAGGUAACCUGCCCCGAAGUGGGGGAUAACCCUGGGAAACCGGGGCUAAUACCCCAUGUGGUGGUAGGAACACAAGUUCCUACCAUCAAAGGCCCGCAAGGGUCGCUUCGGGAGGGGCCUGUGGCCCAUCAGGUAGUUGGUGGGGUAACGGCCCACCAAGCCGAUGACGGGUAGCCGGCCUGAGAGGGUGACCGGCCAGAGGGGCACUGAGACAAGGGCCCCACCCCUACGGGGGGCAGCAGUCUAGAAAAUUGGGCAAUGGGCGAAAGCCUGACCCAGCGACGCUGCGUGGGGGAAGAAGGCCUACGGGUUGUAAACCCCUGUCAGGAGGGAGGAAGCCCCGCCGAAGGCGGGGUGACAGUACCUCCAGAGGAAGCCCCGGCUAACUCCGUGCCAGCAGCCGCGGUAAUACGGAGGGGGCGAGCGUUGCCCGGAUUCACUGGGUGUAAAACGGGUGUAGGCGGGCUGGUAAGUCGGGGGUCAAAGCCCAGGGCUCAACCCUGGUACGGCCUCCGAAACUGCCAGUCUUGAGGGGGGCAGAGGAGAGUGGAACUCCCGGUGGAGCGGUGAAAUGCGUUGAUAUCGGGAGGAACACCAGGUGCGAAGGCGGCUCUCUGGGCCCCUCCUGACGCUGAGACCCGAAAGCCAGGGGAGCGAAGGGGAUUAGAUACCCCCGUAGUCCUGGCCGUAAACGAUGCUCACUAGGGAUGGGAAGGUAAACUUUCCGUCCCGUAGCUAACGCGUUAAGUGAGCUACCUGGGGAGUACGCCCGCAAGGGUGAAACUCAAAGGAAUUGACGGGGGGCCGCACAAGCGGUGGAGGACGUGGCUUAAUUCGAUGAUACGCGAGGAACCUUA